UAAGGGGCAGCUGCGCCUCUUUGCCUCUUCCUCCCAUUUCCUCUCUUAGAAAAAAUGCCAAACUCCUUCAGCCGAAAGUGAACUUUGUUUUCACCAUUUUUGUGCAGAGGGGACUUUUCUAGGUGCGUCUCUAUAUCGUUUUCCCGUUUUCAUGCUUCAAGGUAUGACAAAUCUCUCCAUUCCAGUCAAGGUAUCACCAUAUCGGGGUAAGUCGGAGAUCCAAAAGCCCCGUUCACUGCACCGCAAAAAGGUCGGUAAACCGUCCUUUCUUGUUCCAUUGUAAUUUUCGAUACAUUUAAGAUUCUCUGUAUACUGUGCAUCGUCGUUAGUUUUUUUCCAGCGUUGUUUAUUUUUGUACUAUGAAAAGAGAUAUCCGACGUGUUUAUUCUAAAUCUUUGGUGGUGUGAGUAUGAGUCUACAUUUUGUGUUUGCUGCUUCAUUAGGAGUAUUUUGUUAGUUGCUGUCUAUAUGGAAAUGAUUUUAUUAGGAUUCAUAUUUUUUUUUUAAAAGCAUUUGACUCUUAUAGAGAAUGCCUUUAUUUGAAGUUGAUGUACGAACAAGUGCCAAUCAAUAUACUUAAAUGUCUUUGAUGGAAUGUACGGUCCUCUGUUUCACCGUAAUGUUAAAGUAUUGAACUUCAUAUAUUAGUUCCCAUCUUAAUGUAUUAAUAUAGUUUCAUUAUUUCAUCAUUGUUUUGUUAGAAGGUUUUAGGAUGAUUCUUUUAGUCACAGUCCUUUUUUGCAAGAGUUAGACAAAAGUGGAAAGUCAAGUCUAUCAAAAGCCUAAACCUCUUUCAUGGUUUUUUUUCUUUACUGUUAAAUAUGAUAUUCUAUUUGGAGUAUGUAUAACCACACUUGUUUUGUUAAAUGUUUAGGAAUCAUGUUUAAUAAGGUUUUCCUGGUUAUAUAUUCUUUAGCUGCUAUGGUUGUAAAUCGUUUUCGUAUUUGGCUUUGAGUGUUUUUUUUUAAUAGCCCUUAUGAGGCUGCCGCUAAUCUUUAUUUAUUUUUCUUUACAUGUCUACUUUUGAGCAAAUGGAGUCUUAAUUCGGGACAUACUCUCGACAUAUCCGUGCUUGGAGUUGUCGUUCAUCAUCUUCCCUAGAAUGCCCGGAACAACGAGAAAACUUGCAAAACAUUUGGGGUCGCCUAUGGCGUCCUUUCUUCUUUAUCGUUCAUUAUAUCUCUUUAGGGAUUAUUAGCUUAUCUGUGUGUGAUUUGAUUUUAUCUCAAGUUUGAGAUUGUCUAUUAUGACCCUUUUUUUUAUUUUUUUAUUUUUUUAUUUUUUACGUUAGAUUAGUAACUAAGUUUAUUUAAUUAUUCGGGAUCGUUAAUCUAAUUGGUUAAAAGACAUAUCGAAUUUUCAGCAUUUUUUGGUCA